AUGACCCUGCGGUGUCUGGAGCCCUCCAGGAAUGGCAGGGAAGGGACGCGGAGCCAGCAGGGAGACCACAGGGUCACUGAGGAGCUGUGCCUGAAGACGGUGCGUGUCUGGCAAGGCCCUGCAGGAGCUCCCACAGGAUGGUACGGGGGAAAUAUGUCCACAGAGCCAAAGAGAAAUUAAAAGAGGCACCAGGAGGAAAUUCCUUGAUUAGAGAUAGCUCCCAUUCAGACGACCUACUAACAAUAUCUGUUAAAACAUCAGCUGGACCAACUAAUCUUCCAAUCAAAUACCAAGAUGGUAAAUUCAGAUUGCACUCUGUCCUAUGUGGCAAGUAUGGUUUCAUCUGAUUGACUGCUAUGUUCAGAUGUGUAAGGAUGAGCAGACGGGUGGGAAGGCCCCAGAACAGCACUGCUCACCUUUACUGACCAAAUCACUCUACCCAUCAGCCAUCUCUAUAGCAGCUCUGUGAACCCACUGCUAACAGACAGUGAUAUCUGGGAACGGCCUUUACCAACAAGACUAAAAGUUAAUUGGAAGAAUAUCAGUUCCAGGUAUAA
rnacentral:lncRNA from 1 species